UUUUAAGCCUCAAGACCUCUGAAUGCUAAUGGCAGUACCUGUGAGCCUCUUCAUACAUUAUACUACAGAAAACAUGUUUGUCCCUGAAUAUUUUUAUCAGGGAGCUGCAGCUAUUCCCAGCGUCUUGCAAGUGUACCUACAUGACAGAAAUGUUUGUUAUUGCGUUCAUUCUUUAUUCUUCUAUGGGCAGUCCAUAAAAAUGCAAUAUAUGGGGCAGCCUUGAGAAGCUUGUAAUAUGGAAGUUACUAUGGAUGCGAAACAGCAGUGUGCUGUAUUUAUUAUUUAAUUAUUAAAUUUCCAUCUCACCCUCCCUAAGGGGCCCAGGGCAGCAAACACCAAAAUAAUAAAGCAAUCAUAAUUUUUAAACUAAACAAAACUUAUUUAAAACACUUAAAAACAUCAUAUAACCCCACAGCAAAUAAUAUCUGGAUCAAGUAUCUUUUGACCAUCAAAUGCCUGAUUAAACAGGAAUGCUUUUCAGUUUCUUCUGAAAGUUAAUAAUAUCAGCUUCCUACCCUCAGAAGUAAUAUUUUGAAUGUAUCACUUUGACUGUUCAAAUUGUUUAUACAAUGUUUAUUUGAAAUCCAUACAAUAAUAUUGUAAAUGUAUGUGAUGUUAUCCCUAUAAUACAAAUAAGCUUAUGGCAAAA